rnacentral:rRNA from 1 species
GAUGAACGCUGGCGGCGUGCUUAACACAUGCAAGUCGAACGAAGCAUUUGCGACAGAUUUUUUCGGAAUGAAGUUGCUUAUGACUGAGUGGCGGACGGGUGAGUAACGCGUGGGUAACCUGCCUUGUACUGGGGGAUAGCAGCUGGAAACGGCUGGUAAUACCGCAUAAGCGCACAAUGUUGCAUGACAUGGUGUGAAAAACUCCGGUGGUAUAAGAUGGACCCGCGUCUGAUUAGCUAGUUGGUGAGAUAACAGCCCACCAAGGCGACGAUCAGUAGCCGACCUGAGAGGGUGACCGGCGACAUUGGGACUGAGACACGGCCCAGACUCCUACGGGAGGCAGCAGUGGGGAAUAUUGCACAAUGGAGGAAACUCUGAUGCAGCGACGCCGCGUGAGUGAAGAAGUAAUUCGUUAUGUAAAGCUCUAUCAGCAGGGAAGAUAGUGACGGUACCUGACUAAGAAGCUCCGGCUAAAUACGUG